rnacentral:rRNA from 1 species
GACGAACGUUGGCGGCGUGCUUAAUACAUGCAAGUCAACUGAAGCAGUGGUAGCAAUAUCGCUGUGGAGGUGGCGCACGGGUGAGUAACACGUAGGUAAUCUGCCUUCAGGUCUGGCAUAACUCCGGGAAACCGGGGCUAAUAGCAGAUGAUGCAGCGGCUCGACAUCGAGACAGUUGUUAAAGCUAUGGCGCCUGAAGAUGAGCCUGCGUCUGAUUAGCUAGUUGGCGGGGUAACGGCCCACCAAGGCAACGAUCAGUAGCUGGUCUGAGAGGAUGAUCAGCCACACUGGAACUGAGACACGGUCCAGACUCCUACGGGAGGCAGCAGUAAGGAAUAUUGCUCAAUGGGAGAAAUCCUGAAGCAGCAACGCCGCGGGAGGGACGAAGGGCUUUUGCUUGUAAACCUCUGUAGUGAGAGAAAAAAAUCCCAAUCUUUGGGACAUGAUGGUAUCUCAAAAGUAAGCCCCGGCUAACUACGUG